rnacentral:antisense_RNA from 1 species
CUUGAUCGACCCCAACAGCAGCGGACGCCCGGCGUCCCGGCCCUGGCCGUAGGUGGCGAGGAUCGCCUGCGCCUC